GCUGGCGUCUUACACAAUGCUGCUUCUUCUUGCUUCUGCUCUACACCAACACAGAGACAUCGCAGCACACACACCCAAACAGGAAGAGAAACACACACACACACACGACUUAGAACGGGGGAGCACUCUCAAAAAAAUUACACUCGCUAUCGAAACGAAAUGGAACAAAAAACACUCGGCCGAACUGGAAACGGUCUGGAGUGCCUGGGAAACCUUGAGAGGAGACUCCGCCGCCAUGAGACUAGGGACUACGGAGACGCCACUUGGCCAAACGGGCCGCUUCCACUGCAGCAACGGCCGAUGCGGAGCGACAACGCGUCGUGGGACUUGGACAGAUGCCGACCGACUGCCAUCGAUGAAGCCCGGUCCAAAGAUGUCGGAUGGGUGGACGAGCAGGCGAACAGACGGACGUGCGAAUGGACAGCAGCCAGGACUCUCGCGCUCAGACAGCUUUCGAUGCGUUUCGGCGAGCGGAGCUUUUCAUCCCCACUACCCCUCUGCCCAAUCACAGCGUUUCCUCUCCCGAUUUCCACGCUUUUCCAAAGAGCAACAGUAACGCACAGGAGUCUUAAGUGGCUGGGCAGACAGGGCGCAUACGCAACAUUCGAGACGAGUCAACACUCAGCCACAGCCGUCUCGCUCGCGCUCACGCAACUUGGCCACCACACUUGCGGUCACACAAACAGAUCGCAUACAAAAUAUCAAUCAUUUUAUCGUCAAUAUCAUUCAUGUCAUUUAAUACAAAUCCUUUAAUGUGUACAUAUUAAAUCUAAAUUUAUCAAUAUUUAACAAGUUAGCUGUU
ensembl:ncRNA asRNA:CR44429 antisense RNA:CR44429